GUCUAUGGCCAUGCCACUCUGAAUAAGCCCGAUGUCUGAUCUCAGAAGGUAAGCAGGGUUGGGCCCAGUUAAUACUUGGAUGGGAGACACCUAGGAACACCGGGUGCUAUAGGCA
rnacentral:rRNA from 1 species